CCUACGGGUGGCAGCAGUAGGGAAUAUUGCUCAAUGGGGGAAACCCUGAAGCAGCAACGCCGCGUGGAGGAUGAAGGUUUUAGGAUUGUAAACUCCUUUUGUGAGAGAAGAUAAUGACGGUAUCUCACGAAUAAGCACCGGCUAACUCCGUGCCAGCAGCCGCGGUAAUACGGAGGGUGCAAGCGUUACUCGGAAUCACUGGGCGUAAAGAGUGCGCAGGCGGGCUUGUAAGUCAGAUGUGAAAUCCUGUAGCUUAACUACAGAACUGCAUUUGAAACUAUGAGUCUAGAGUGUGGGAGAGGUAGGUGGAAUUCUUGGUGUAGGGGUAAAAUCCGUAGAUAUCAAGAGGAACCCCGAUUGCGAAGGCAGCCUGCCGGGGUGCGACUGACGCUGAGGCUCGAAGGUGCGGGUAUCAAACAGGAUUAGAUACCCGUGUAGUC
rnacentral:rRNA from 1 species